GAGAGGUGCUGCAUGGCUGUCGUCAGCUCGUGUUGUGAAAUGUUGGGUUAAGUCUCGCAACGAGCGCAACCCCUAUCGUCUGUUGCCAGCGUUUAGUUGGGCACUCUGACGAGACUGCCUGGGUUAACCAGGAGGAAGGUGGGGAUGACGUCAAGUCCUCAUGGCCCUUAUGUCUAGGGCUACACACGUAAUACAAUGGCGCGUACAGAGGGAAGCGAACUCGCAAGGGGGAGCAAAUCUCAAAAAGCGCGCCUCAGUUCAGAUUGGAGUCUGCAACUCGACUCCAUGAAGUUGGAAUCGCUAGUA
rnacentral:rRNA from 1 species